rnacentral:rRNA from 1 species
GCAUAUCAAUAAGCGGAGGAAAAGAAACCAACCGGGAUUGCCUUAGUAACGGCGAGUGAAGCGGCAAAAGCUCAAAUUUGAAAUCUGGUACCUUCGGUGUCCGAGUUGUAAUUUGGAGAGGGCAACUUUGGGGCCGUUCCUUGUCUAUGUUCCUUGGAACAGGACGUCAUAGAGGGUGAGAAUCCCGUGUGGCGAGGAGUGCGGUUCUUUGUAAAGUGCCUUCGAAGAGUCGAGUUGUUUGGGAAUGCAGCUCUAAGUGGGUGGUAAAUUCCAUCUAAAGCUAAAUAUUGGCGAGAGACCGAUAGCGAACAAGUACAGUGAUGGAAAGAUGAAAAGAACUUUGAAAAGAGAGUGAAAAAGUACGUGAAAUUGUUGAAAGGGAAGGGCAUUUGAUCAGACAUGGUGUUUUGUGCCCUCUGCUCCUUGUGGGUAGGGGAAUCUCGCAUUUCACUGGGCCAGCAUCAGUUUUGGUGGCAGGAUAAAUCCAUAGGAAUGUAGCUUGCCUCGGUAAGUAUUAUAGCCUGUGGGAAUACUGCCAGCUGGGACUGAGGACUGCGACGUAAGUCAAGGAUGCUGGCAUAAUGGUUAUAUGCCGCCCGUCUUGAAACACGGACC